rnacentral:rRNA from 1 species
GACGAACGCUGGCGGCGUGCUUAACACAUGCAAGUCGAACGGAAAGGCCCUGCUUGCAGGGUACUCGAGUGGCGAACGGGUGAGUAACACGUGGGUGAUCUGCCCUGCACUUCGGGAUAAGCCUGGGAAACUGGGUCUAAUACCGGAUAGGAGCCAUUUUUAGUGUGAUGGUUGGAAAGUUUUUUCGGUGUAGGAUGAGCUCGCGGCCUAUCAGCUUGUUGGUGGGGUAAUGGCCUACCAAGGCGGCGACGGGUAGCCGGCCUGAGAGGGUGGACGGCCACAUUGGGACUGAGAUACGGCCCAGACUCCUACGGGAGGCAGCAGUGGGGAAUAUUGCACAAUGGGCGCAAGCCUGAUGCAGCGACGCCGCGUGGGGGAUGACGGCCUUCGGGUUGUAAACUCCUUUCGCUAGGGACGAAGCUUUUUGUGACGGUACCUAGAGAAGAGGCACCGGCUAACUACGUG